rnacentral:ncRNA from 2 species
UAUAAUCCGCCGCUUGCAGGUGCCCGCAGCCGCCAAAUCAGGCGCGCGGGUGAAACGGGAAGCCGGUGGACAAUCCGGCGCUGCCCCCGCAACGGUAAGGUCUGGCGCCACGCGCCCAGGCGGCAUUCACACGCCACUGUCGGUUUCGACGGGAAGGCAUGCCGCUGGCAGGACCAAGCCCGGAGACCGGCCUGCAGCAACGUCCGGAU